rnacentral:piRNA from 1 species
UCUGAGAAUCUUCUGGGACAUGUGGCAC